UGCGGGAUCGUCUAACGGCAGGACAACGGGCUUUGAACCCGUCGGUGGAGGUUCGAGUCCUCCUCCCGCAA
rnacentral:tRNA from 1 species